rfam:Schistosoma mattheei strain Denwood, Zambia genome assembly, scaffold: SMTD_scaffold0026044
AUUCAUUUGACGAGCCUCAAAUAGGACGAAACACGCGUCCUGGAU